GCCCAGUCCCAUCUACUUCCACUUCCAUCUCUAUUCUGCUUGUUCAGUAGCUAGCCCUCUAAGACAGACUGUAUAUGCCAAGGAUGCAUCUACAAGCUGCUUUUUCUUCUACUGUUAGACACCCACCCUCCACCACCAUUAGGCAUAAGGUCAGUUGCUUUAUAAUUAAUAUAUGUAACUAAGUAAUAGAGCCUCUUGUCUCUAUUAUGUGCAAAUAUUAAGCAACGUCUCUGAGCUAAACAGAAACACAAUAUUUAAAUGAGGGAUAUGGUAGGGCAUUUUAUCUGCCAAGAACAUAGAACAUGAAAUGAAGUAGCAGAGAUUAGGACUGGAAAUGCUGAUUAAAUUUAUUACAGCUUAGACUGGUGAGUCUGAGGCUUUUCCAACCAUGUUUUUCUACACUCUACAUUGUACAGACUUUGCGGAUCAAAUUCUGACUCCAGAAGCUCAUGUGAGUCUCUCACUAAAGUCAAAAAGACACACGCACAAGCGUCUGGAGGCAUAAUUUGGUCUCCUGAAUUUACAAAAGCACCAAUAUUACCCUCAGUGAGUUGGUCCUCUUCAGUAAUAUGUUCUUUCUUGAUGAUUUCCACUACAGAGCUGUCAUUGCCCUCUACCAGCCCACUGUUCUCCGCCGGUCCUGGCGAUGGUGACCCAGUGCCUUCCCCUGGUGCUGGUGGGGAAGGCCCAGUGCUCUCCUCUCGCCAUGCAGAUGGCAGCCCAGUGCUCUCCUCCGAUCCCAUGGGCAGGGGCUCAUUGCCCUCCGGCUCCUCCCUUUUGCUGACUGAAUCAAUCUUUUCUUCCAGUGCCAGAAUGAGAACAGCCUCACCUCCUGGGAGAUGCUCUUCCGGUUUUGUCUCCUCAGAGGCGAGACUCACAUCUUCCACUGGGUCCAGCUUUGUUUGGUCAGGAAAAACAGGGGAAAGAACUUUCUCAUACCAGAGGAUGAGCAUGCUUGAACACAUUACCCCCAGUGCAGCUACACACUACCUGCGACCAAUGGACAGAAGAAUAAGUAAAUGAAAAUUGCUAAGGUUGACUUUGCUAUCCUACCCAUUAGUAAUCCUCUGACUGUUGCCAACCACAAAAGAGCUUCAGGAAUUUGUUUUUUUWAAAAAAAAAAGCCCAAAUCUUUAUUGCCUCCAGUUCUUAAAACAAAAAAAUGGUUUGUAUUUUAAAGGUUAAACUAUCAUACAUACUACACUUCUUCUAAUUAAACAGCCAAUAACAGAAAGCCUGCGCUAAUCCAAACUGCUGAUUCUUUCAUAUGUGAUCAAAUUAUUGGCUAAGUAAAGCAAUGGGUCUUUUCAGCAGAUGAAAUUUAAGUCUGAAAAAUGGCAAAAUUCCUCUGACAGGUAUCUGACUGUUGGAAGACUCAAAAGAGCUAUGUAUACCUAUCAGACUGAUUUAAGAACUUUCUGAUUAAAUUCAGUUUGACAAUAGCUUGUACUUAGCCUUCUCACAAGGAAUGUCAAGAUGAAAACACUCAUUGGGAGUUUGUGCACAAAGUCUGUUAAUAUAAUAAUUAUGAGAUCUGGACAAAUUGUAUUUUCUGGGAAAAUGAUGAUUGUGGUGUCAAAGCUUGUGAGCAGAACGAUGUGGUACUUCCUGCGUGAUGUACGAGCGAUUCAAAAUCCCUAACCAGUGCCGUGAGCAGCAGCCGCCCAGCACAGCCACUGGGAAAUGCCGUGGCGGUGAGCGUACCGCUGACGGCAGCUCUUCCCGGACUGGUUCCUCCCCCUGCUCGAAAUUCAGAUUUACCUUYGCAGCCCCUCCGGGAGAUGUGACUCAAGAUCUCCCUCUCAGACCCUUCAGCAUGGAGAUUUAGCACCUACCGUGGCAGUCAGAGGGGAGCAAGUGCUUAAAGGUUUUUGUGGUCCUAGUCCUCAGUUACCCACAAGUUAAUUUAAUCUGUAUGCUAGCCGCAUGUCAGCAAAGCUAACGGUCACAGGGCAAAGCUUCAAGCCUUUGGUACAUUUGUUGAAAAUGUUAUUAGAGUAUUGCUAUUAGCUGUAUCAUGGUCUGUUUGUAACAUUGCAUUGGGAUUGUGCAUGUUACAGCAGCACAGCAGCUUGAUCAAAGAAUAGUGGUAUCUGUCAGCUUAACUUUUUUAAGUUUUCCAGCUAUUAACAUUCUAAAAAAAUGUAGAAAUUGUAAAAAUUGGUGGUUAUGGUUUAAAAAAAAAGGGGACAGAUAGCUCUUAAAGACAUAAGAAACAAACACAUUAAAUAAAAG
ensembl:lncRNA